UAUAAUUUUUGAUUUUUCAUCUUAUUCAAAUUUUUUUUGCGAUUGAUCUUUUUGUUUUUAUUAGAUGAUAAAUCAUGAAUAGUACUUUACGUGUGACUAUCUUUUUUUCUAAUUUCCUAAAAUUUUUUCAAUAAGACAGAUAAUCAAACGUUGGACACGGAAACCGAAG
rnacentral:pre_miRNA from 1 species